AUGCAAUGGAAGGUGUUUCUGUGGCUGUUGCUGGCUGACAGACUGAAUACCAGGAAUAUGCUUCGACGCAGACACUUCAGAAUCCAGAAUGAUAACUACGCCUGUCUCCUCUGUAACCAGCUGCCCGAGGAAGACAUUGCUCAUCUCUUCUUCGCCUGCCCUUUCAGUCAAAGGUGUUGGGCUGCGCUGGGAAUACAUUGGCCAAAUGACCCUGACUGGAUUAAAAUGGUUCAUGAAGGCAAGAGCAGGUGGACAAGGCCGAUGUUCUUAGAAGUCUUCACGGUUGCUGCUUGGGGGAUCUGGAAGGAGAGGAAUGACAAACACUUCAGGGGGAUUCAGCCUUCCUUUGAUUCUUGGAGGGGCAGGUUCAGGAAGGAUUUUGCUAUGCUGGCUCAUAGAGCUAGGCGGGAGCUGGCUCCUUGCAUCACUUCCAUUGUCAACUUGCUUUGA
rnacentral:rRNA from 1 species